rnacentral:rRNA from 1 species
ACUCCUACGGGAGGCAGCAGUGGGGAAUAUUGGUCAAUGGGCGGAAGCCUGAACCAGCCAUGUCGCGUGCAGGAAAACGGCCCUACGGGUUGUAAACUGCUUUUGUACCGGAAUAAACCUGAUUUCGUGUUAUCAGCUGAAUGUACGGUAAGAAUAAGGAUCGGCUAACUCCGUGCCAGCAGCCGCGGUAAU